UACGUAGGGUGCGAGCGUUAAUCGGAAUUACUGGGCGUAAAGCGUGCGCAGGCGGUUCGUUAUGUCCGAUGUGAAAGCCCCGAGCUCAACUUGGGAAUGGCAUUGGAAACUGGCGGGCUGGAGUGUGGCAGAGGGGGGGUGGAAUUCCACGUGUAGCAGUGAAAUGCGUAGAGAUGUGGAGGAACACCGAUGGCGGAAGGCAGCCCCCUGGGUUAACACUGACGCUCAGGCACGAAAGCGUGGGGAGCAAACAGG
rnacentral:rRNA from 1 species